rnacentral:misc_RNA from 1 species
UUAUUUAUUCACUUUGAUUAUAAUAUAAAAACUGCAAAUAUUUACACUUUGACGCAGGUUUAUUCUGCCAUAAAAAUGAGGAAAAGAAAGGCACAAGCCAACACACACCACUGAUUGGUACAUUUUAUUCUUGGCAUUGUUUUCUCUGCUGCUUUAUUGUUUCGCCAGACAGACAGCAAGCAACCUGCCAGCUGAUGCAUAUAAUUAUGGAAAUUUAAAAAGUGGGCCCGAAACACCCCUCAGGCGCACAAGCAAUAUAGAGACAACAGAAAAAGAAAAUGAAAAAUCGAAAAAAGCGAAAAGUAAAUAGAAGUUGCACAGCAAAGAACAUUUUCUACAAACAAUAAGCAGCGGGACAUUAGCAUAAAGCCAAGACAGUACAAACACACACACACAAUCACAAUGCACAUUGAAUUUGGUGUUUGAAUUGGCGCCCAACUCUGGAACGGGGUGGCAACUCACUCUCUUCUCUCUCCACUGCCACACUGUUAUCGAUUGUCAAACAGCUGUCUGUAGUGUCAAGAAUUUAGCGUUUAGGUGCAUUUUUGUUUUUUUUUUUUGAUUUAUGUGAAAUUUUACACAAAAAACGAGGAUAUUCAUAGUAUUGUAGGAGCGCUGUCUGGGCCUCCAGCGGUUUCAGCACCUAAUAGUACAAACAACCUCGUUGCACCUGCAAAUUGUGAUACGAUACGCAUUGCCUUAAAUAUAAAACAAAAAACAAAAAAUAACCUGCAAUAACUGAAACCAAUUGGUAAUGUUAAAUACGUUUUCUAAGCCAUGGAUACAGCAGAACCAGAAGCAACAGCACCAGCUGCCCAGUCAAAUGCCGACUCCGGUACAUCGAAAACCGAAAAAACCGCCAGUGCUCCCACGGAGCCGUCGUCGUCUGCGUCUGCGUCGGCGCCAGGGUCACGCUACAACAGCCGGCACGGUCGCGAUGGAAAUAAUGCUGGUCGCACAGGUGGUCACUGGGAUUCGACGGACCAUUGGCAGCAAAACAACAAUCGCUACGCGCAGCGAAGGAUCAACGAGCGAUGGAACAGGGACAUGGAAAGGGACAGUGACUCCUUCUUCAAUCGGUUUUCGAAUAGAAAUAAUCCGUAUCAGCAAAAUCGUCCACCAAACUAUCGCUGGCAGCGCAACGAUUAUUCAGAUAGAUCAUAUUACGGACAAGAGAGGUACUCCAGAUAUGAACGCAGAACAAGUGAAGACCGGCACAAUUGGGGCUACAACCCUGCCAGAAAUAAUGGGAACGAUCAAAUUAGAAAUUUCCAUCCAAAUCCCGAAUCAAAAGAACUGAAAGAAACUGAAACUGAUUGUGAAUCGAAAGGAGCUUCUAAAGCGGGUUUGCGACCUCUGGAAACGCAAAAAAAAUCCAAAGAAAAUCCAGAAAAUAAAGAAAGUCUAUUUAGAGGCCAGUCAGAUCCAAAUGGAGGGGUUUCUAGAUCAAACAAGUGCGAUAUCCCCACCCGAAAUAAGAAGAACAAUCAAAAUCACAAAUCACAAGAACUGAAAGGAACAGAAGUUGAUCGUGAAUCGAAAGGAGCUUCUAAGGCUAAUCUUGGCCUUCUGAAAACACCAAGCAAUUUGAAAGAACAGCCAGGAAAUAAAGGGAGGCCAUUUAGUGGCCAGUCAAAUAAAGAAAAAGCAGCAUUGGGAGGGGAUUCUAGUCAAAUCAAAGUCCCCAAGCCCAUUGCUACCAGUGAGAAACCCAGUGGGAAUCCCCCGCCAGCAGCAGAGUCUGAGUCUAGUCAAACAUAUCCCAAGAUCAAAGUACGUCCUUUAGCCGAGCUGCUGAACCACGGGAUCCUAGCUGCAACCGAGGAGAACCGCCUGGGACGCACUGCCCCAACCGAAAGACCGCCGAAUCCUUUGUCCUACAGACCUGCCCCUAAAAUUCGCCGACUUACUGUGGCUGGCUGUGGUGCCUUCGAUCCACCGGAUAAUCCUACCUCAAUCGAAAGUCGCCUCGCGAACCUAGACAAGGAGAGCCUCAAGUAUAUAAUCAACAACAGUGACACCAUAUACGAGGAGCACCUCAAGUUCCAGGCCCGAAAACGACUGCAGGACAAAAUUGGUCGCCAGCUCAAGAAAUUUAAUCUGGAAAAGCCGAAGGAUAGCCGGGUCACGCCACCGAUUGAAGACGAGACCGUUGAUGACAUCAAAUUACCAAAAGUACUGCUCCAAGAGAUCGAAAAGUGCCUUAGCAUAAGCACUCCAGAGGCUGACGGAAGCAAGUCAAGUCCACAAAAGGAGAAAGUGGCUUUAGAGGAACGAGAAAUCCAAACGGAACCUACCAUUAAGAGAGGGGAGUGCAGUAAAAAGAGUUCAGAGUCCAAACAGGAACAAGAACAAAACUCUAGCAUUAAGAGCGGGCAGUGCAGUAAAAUUCCAGAAAAAGGAAGGAACUCUAGUCACAGAGAGAAGGAGACCCCAACAGAGACAAUGGCUGGUGCCAAUAAUCUGAUGAGACGGCUCAAAGCCGCCGACGAGGUGAAGACAAUGACCGCAGUGCGUCAAUAUAAUGGCCGUCCCAGUGGCAGCUUCCCGCCCCGCGGUCCUUUGCUACCAUUCCCAAAACAAGACAAAAAGUUGAGCAGUGGCGAGGGGAAAGAACGCAAAAUAGGCAUAUCCUCGCCCACGAAAGCCAAACCAAAAGAUACAACUAAAGAGAGCACUCCAAAGGAUACCGCUCCAGCCCCACCAGAAGCCACACUUUCGAUCAAAAAGGAGAUCACAGACUGCGAAAUAAUUCAACCGACGGGGAAUGCAACAAUAGUUGUCAGCUCUUCCUCUGAUGAAGAUGAGGCUGAAGCUGAAACUGAAACUGUGGAUAAGCCCCACAACAAGACACAACCGCAGCGGCAGGCAACCGCAGUGGCAAAGCCCAACGAUGAAGAAGCGAGUGAUCACUCGACCACUUCUCAAUGCAGCACCGAGUCCUCUAAGCGGCGCUACAGGCAGAAGCUAAAGCUUGAUGCGGACUAUGUGGUAGACAGUUUCGAGAAGCUGAUUCUGCCGCAUCUCAAGGAAUCGCUAGCAGAGAGAUUCAAAAGCCUGAAUAGCGACAGUAUACACACUCGUCUUCACUUCAUAUCCUGCGUUGUGACGUCCAGCGACCACAAUUCGCAAAGCAUCAGCAAAAUGGAAAUAGCCAAAAUGCAAAAUAAUCUCAAGCUUCGAAACAAUCGGCUGGGCAUUGAGUUCCUACUGCGCCAGAUGGUGCAUGUGGUUAAUCAGCAGAAGCAGAAAGCGGCGGCACAGCGGUCAAAGGAACAGGAGGCGAAAAAGCUGAGCAAUAGGAUUAGCACGGUGACGAGUGCCGCCUCAGAGAGUGCUGAAUCUGCAAAAGAGCCGCCGCCACAUCAAAGACUUCUGCGGGAAACUGCAGUGGCACCACCCUCUAGUCAGAGUCCUCGUCAGAGUUCUCCCUUGCCGUCUUCUCGUCAGAGUCCACCAGCAUUGCCUUCUCGUCAGAGUCCACCAGCAUUGCCUUCUCGUCAGAGUCCACCAGCAUUGCCUUCUCGUCAGAGUCCACCAGCAUUGCCUCCUCGUCAGAGUCCACCAGCAUUGUCUUCUCGUCAGAGUCCACCAGGACUUCCCGUUCUUCAGAGCCCACCAGCCUUGCCCCCGCGUCCAAUUAACCCACCAUUUUCUGUUUAUCCUCCUGGAUUUCUGGAUUCCCCAUUGGCUCGACACUCCCCAGGCGGCUAUCCCCUGUCCGAAUCCACUGAACCUCUGCGACAUGUGACAAGCGACAUGGUGGCCCAAAAUCUAGUCGAAAUCGAUCGUCGUCUCUUGGAGAAUCAAAAUAGACGUAGCUUUCUCGAGGAAAUGAUCAUGAAAUUCCAAAAGGAGAAAUCCGACUUGGAAAUUCACAGCCUGGAGAUGCAAAACCGCAAGUUUCUGCUGAUCAAUUCAGCAAUCUACAGGAACCAUGGACCAGCAACAGCAUCAUCUGUGAUGCUCUCCACGCUUGCUACCCAGAGCCAGGCAGAAGUUUUGGGGCAGUCUUGUAAUAGAAACGAGGCUUCUUCGAACCAAACACAAGCCAGACCGAAGCGUCGCGUUCGUCGGGCUGUGGUGGUCAAGUACUUGCCCAAGCGUAGGGCAAGAUUCAAUCGUCGGACAGCCAAGAGGAAUGAUAAUUCAGACGAGUUGGUGGCUCAGCUCCAGCUGGAGAUUGCAGCCAAGGAGCAGACUGAAAAAUCCGAGGAGAUCUCACCGAAAAUGCCCAUGCCGAUAAUAGAGCCCGAUGCGGUGAUCAAAGAGGAACCCAUGGAUUUCUGCAAUGCAAUGGAGUUGCAGUCGCCGCGUCCCAACAUCGCCGAAAAUGGUGCUAGCCCCAACAAACGAUCGGCGGAUCACAUUCCAGCGGCCGCCUCCAGGCCCAAGCAGUCGCCCGCUAGCCAUUAUACCACCGCUACCACCACCACCGCCGCCGCCGCCCGAGCCGAACUACAACAUGCCAUACCAGCUGCCACGGAGUAUCCUCAAGGCCCCACCGCCACUACCCACGCAACUGAGACAGCAUACGGUAGAGUCCAACGGGGACAUGGGCUCGGAUCUGGGCUUCAUACGCAAGGGCCGCCUUCACUCGGUCGUCAGUCCGAUCACCCAAAUACGCAUUUAUAAGAACCACAUACUAGCAGCCGCCGAGGAUGGGGACAUCUACAUCUUCAACCUUCACAAUCACAAGCUCGAGCGUCAGAUCCCGAAGCACGGCGAGGCCAUCACAAACAUGCAUCUGUGCGAGAAGGAGUCAUUUCUGUACACCACAUCAUUGGACGGCUUCCUCAAGAAAUCCUCAUUGGAGAAUCUUGAGAGUGUCCAGCAAACAGUAUACGUCAAGGAGCCAUUGCAAUCUAUUGAUAUUGCCUGGGAUGCCGCAUUUAUUGGCAGUCGCUGGGGCCACAUCUUUGUCUAUAAUGUGGUGACCAACAAAAUGAUAGAAUCCCCUUUGCUCUCCACGGGCCAGUCCAUUAUC